rnacentral:sRNA from 2 species
UCAAUAGAGAGCUAGGGUUCCGAUAUCAAAACUUACCUUGAUAUGACUGGUCCGAGAGCUUUCGACCUUGAUGUUUCAAGGUUACACGGCGGGAUAAAAGCCCGGGAGAC